GACGAACGCUGGCGGCGUGCUUAACACAUGCAAGUCGAACGGAAAGGCCCUGCUUUUUUGGGGUGCUCGAGUGGCGAACGGGUGAGUCACACGUGCGUAACCUGCCCUUGACUUUGGGAUAACUUCAGGUAACUGGGGCUAAUACCGGAUAGGAGCUCCUGCUGCAUGGUGGGGGUUGGAAAGUUUCGGCGGUUGGGGAUGGACUCGCGGCUUAUCAGCUUGUUGGUGGGGUAGUGGCUUACCAAGGCUUUGACGGGUAGCCGGCCUGAGAGGGUGACCGGCCACAUUGGGACUAAGAUACGGACCAGACUCCUACGGGAGGCAGCAGUGGGGAAUAUUGCACAAUGGGCGGAAGCCUGAGGCAGCAACGCCGCGUGCGGGAUGACGGCCUUCGGGUUGUAAACCGCUUUCGCCUGUGACGAAGCGUGAGUGACGGUAAUGGGUAAAGAAGCACCGGCUAACUACGUG
rnacentral:rRNA from 1 species